rnacentral:rRNA from 1 species
GACGAACGCUGGCGGCGUGCUUAACACAUGCAAGUCGAACGGAAAGGCCCUGCUUUUGUGGUGUGCUCGAGUGGCGAACGGGUGAGUAACACGUGAGUAACCUGCCCUUGACUUUGGGAUAACUUCAGGAAACUGGGGCUAAUACCGGAUAGGAGCUCCUGCUGCAUGGUGGGGGUUGGAAAGUUUCGGCGGUUGGGGAUGGACUCGCGGCUUAUCAGCUUGUUGGUGGGGUAGUGGCUUACCAAGGCUUUGACGGGUAGCCGGCCUGAGAGGGUGACCGGCGACAUUGGGACUGAGAUACGGCCCAGACUCCUACGGGAGGCAGCAGUGGGGAAUAUUGCACAAUGGGCGGAAGCCUGAUGCAGCAACGCCGCGUGCGGGAUGACGGCCUUCGGGUUGUAAACCGCUUUCGCCUGUGACGAAGCGUGAGUGACGGUAAUGGGUAAAGAAGCACCGGCUAACUACGUG